CUACUUGGCUGCAGCUAAUCUGUCGGAACAGGCCUCGAACGCUUCACUGCGCGGGUAUCCCGUAGUGGCUAACCCACUACAUCUCCUGCGUCAGACUCCUACCCGUGGAGACAGACGCUGUCCCUAUAAAGAAGUAGUUGUCCUUUUGAGGUGGUGGGACUGAAGAGGUGUGUGCGGUGUGUCACAGUCUAUAUCGUCAAUAUCUUAAUGUAGGAAUGUAGGUGUGGUGCGGUCAAUGGUCUGAUCUACAGUCUUUUGUAAGUACCUUUGCAACCAGGGCAUCACGCAGCAAACCAGGAAGAGGAG